rnacentral:rRNA from 1 species
UGCUAAUACCGGAUAACAACAGAUGAUGCCUAUCAACUGUUUAAAAGAAUGGUUCUGCUAUCACUCUUGGAUGGACCUGCGGUGCAUUAGCUAGUUGGGUAGGGUAACGGCCUACCAAGGCGAUGAUGCAUAGCCGAGUUGAGAGACUGAUCGGCCACAUUGGGACUGAGACACGGCCCAAACUCCUACGGGAGGCAGCAGGU